UUAAGCGACUAAGCGUACACGGUGGAUGCCCUGGCAGUCAGAGGCGAUGAAGGACGUGCUAAUCUGCGAAAAGCGCCGGCGAGGUGAUAUGAACCCUUGACCCGGCGAUGUCCGAAUGGGGAAACCCAGUGCAAUCCGUUGCACUAUCGUUAACUGAAUACAUAGGUUAACGAGGCGAACCGGGGGAACUGAAACAUCUAAGUACCCCGAGGAAAAGAAAUCAACCGAGAUUCCCCCAGUAGCGGCGAGCGAACGGGGAGCAGCCCGGAGUCUGAAUCAGCUUGUGUGUUAGUGGAACGGUCUGGAAAGUCCGACGGUACAGGGUGAUAGUCCCGUACACGAAAAUGCACAUGCUGUGAACUCGAAGAGUAGGGCGGGACACGUGGUAUCCUGUCUGAAUAUGGGGGGACCAUCCUCCAAGGCUAAAUACUCCUGACUGACCGAUAGUGAACCAGUACCGUGAGGGAAAGGCGAAAAGAACCCCGGCGAGGGGAGUGAAAAAGAACCUGAAACCGUGUACGUACAAGCAGUGGGAGCCUCUUUAUGGGGUGACUGCGUACCUUUUGUAUAAUGGGUCAGCGACUUAUAUUCUGUAGCAAGGUUAACCGUAUAGGGGAGCCGAAGGGAAACCGAGUCUUAACUGGGCGUUAAGUUGCAGGGUAUAGACCCGAAACCCGGUGAUCUAGCCAUGGGCAGGUUGAAGGUUGGGUAACACUAACUGGAGGACCGAACCGACUAAUGUUGAAAAAUUAGCGGAUGACCUGUGGCUGGGGGUGAAAGGCCAAUCAAACCGGGAGAUAGCUGGUUCUCCCCGAAAGCUAUUUAGGUAGCGCCUCGUGAACUCAUCUUCGGGGGUAGAGCACUGUUUCGGCUAGGGGGCCAUCCCGGCUUACCAACCCGAUGCAAACUACGAAUACCGAAGAAUGUUAUCACGGGAGACACACGGCGGGUGCUAACGUCCGUCGUGAAGAGGGAAACAACCCAGACCGCCAGCUAAGGUCCCAAAGUCAUGGUUAAGUGGGAAACGAUGUGGGAAGGCACAGACAGCCAGGAUGUUGGCUUAGAAGCAGCCAUCAUUUAAAGAAAGCGUAAUAGCUCACUGGUCGAGUCGGCCUGCGCGGAAGAUGUAACGGGGCUAAACCAUGCACCGAAGCUGCGGCAGCGACACUAUGUGUUGUUGGGUAGGGGAGCGUUCUGUAAGCCGUUGAAGGUGUGCUGUGAGGCAUGCUGGAGGUAUCAGAAGUGCGAAUGCUGACAUAAGUAACGAUAAAGCGGGUGAAAAGCCCGCUCGCCGGAAGACCAAGGGUUCCUGUCCAACGUUAAUCGGGGCAGGGUGAGUCGACCCCUAAGGCGAGGCCGAAAGGCGUAGUCGAUGGGAAACAGGUUAAUAUUCCUGUACUUGGUGUUACUGCGAAGGGGGGACGGAGAAGGCUAUGUCAGCCGGGCGACGGUUGUCCCGGUUUAAGCAUGUAGGCGGAGGUUCCAGGUAAAUCCGGUACCUUGUUAACGCUGAGGUGUGAUGACGAGGCACUACGGUGCUGAAGUGAUAAAUGCCCUGCUUCCAGGAAAAGCCUCUAAGCAUCAGGUAACACGAAAUCGUACCCCAAACCGACACAGGUGGUCAGGUAGAGAAUACCAAGGCGCUUGAGAGAACUCGGGUGAAGGAACUAGGCAAAAUGGUGCCGUAACUUCGGGAGAAGGCACGCUGAUGUGUAGGUGAAGCCCCUGCGGGUGGAGCUGAAAUCAGUCGAAGAUACCAGCUGGCUGCAACUGUUUAUUAAAAACACAGCACUGUGCAAACACGAAAGUGGACGUAUACGGUGUGACGCCUGCCCGGUGCCGGAAGGUUAAUUGAUGGGGUUAGCGGCAACGCGAAGCUCUUGAUCGAAGCCCCGGUAAACGGCGGCCGUAACUAUAACGGUCCUAAGGUAGCGAAAUUCCUUGUCGGGU
rnacentral:rRNA from 1 species